rnacentral:other from 1 species
CGUCCCCUGUGGUGCUCGACUAGGGCCAAGUCAUCAUUGAGCCUAAUCGAGUACCCUUGGGAAUCGGAUCACGGGGUUGUUGCGCAGGUCUGCAUUAUUUGGCAGAAAGCCUGAUAUCCCGAACCAUUUCCCCUGUUGAACCAAGUGGUUCAAGGGUCAGAGCCCGAACGGCACCGACGGGGGGCGU